UUCCUCCUCCUCUCCUCACUGACUGUGUGUCUCAGUGUGUGUGUGUGUUUGUGGUGAUGGCCGCUGCUCGGGACUUUCUCUAUCUUGGUUUUGAUUUCAGCACUCAGCAGCUGAAGGUGGUGGCUGUGGAUGGAAACCUGAGCGUGGUUCAUCAGAACAACGUGCAGUUUGACUCUGAGCUACCUGAGUUCAGGACUCAGGGAGGAGUUCAUAUCCAUGCUGACAAACUGACGGUCACCUCACCUG